CUCAGCUGGGCACUGGGGAUACAGAAGCACAAAGCACCUGCCCCUCAAGAGAGGAUGGCGGAAGGUCCCAAAGAGAAAUUUCUGACUUUCCAUGUGGAGAGGACUACCUGGAUCACCCUAGAAACCCUAAAAGACCUUCUUGGGCUGAAAAUGAAGGACCUCGAAGCUCCUCUUGUGAUGGGGGAACACUUCUUUUGGUGACAGCGAAGAGGCCACAGUUCCUGCCUCCUGCACAGAACAUCAAAACUAGUGAAAGAAGAUGUAAGUUAACUGGAAAGCAGAGUCCCUGCAGGACCAGCCUGGGGAAGUGGCCCUGAGGGGUGAAACGGAAGAUAAAACAGAACCGCUUUUGGUUUACAAACUACCCAAGAAAAACCAGUCUCUUUUUCACUUGUCUUUUGACCAAAAAGUGUAUUAGCCAAACUGAGGCCCUGCCUAAUCCAGC
rnacentral:lncRNA from 1 species